rnacentral:rRNA from 1 species
GGACGAACGCUGGCGGCGUGCUUAACACAUGCAAGUCGAGCGGUAAGGCCCUUUCGGGGGUACACGAGCGGCGAACGGGUGAGUAACACGUGAGCAACCUGCCCCGAAGUCUGGAAUAACAUCGGGGAAACCGGUGCUAAUACCGGGAUCGCCCCACCUGACCGCAUGAUCGGGGUGAGGAAAGAUUUAUCGCUUCGGGAGGGGCUCGCGGCCUAUCAGCUAGUUGGUGGGGUAACGGCC